UUUAUUGUGAAGACUGUGACG
rnacentral:piRNA from 1 species